GAUGAACGCUGGCGGCGUGCCUAAUACAUGCAAGUCGAGCGAACAGACGAGGAGCUUGCUCCUCUGACGUUAGCGGCGGACGGGUGAGUAACACGUGGAUAACCUACCUAUAAGACUGGGAUAACUUCGGGAAACCGGAGCUAAUACCGGAUAAUAUAUUGAACCGCAUGGUUCAAUAGUGAAAGACGGUUUUGCUGUCACUUAUAGAUGGAUCCGCGCCGCAUUAGCUAGUUGGUAAGGUAACGGCUUACCAAGGCAACGAUGCGUAGCCGACCUGAGAGGGUGAUCGGCCACACUGGAACUGAGACACGGUCCAGACUCCUACGGGAGGCAGCAGUAGGGAAUCUUCCGCAAUGGGCGAAAGCCUGACGGAGCAACGCCGCGUGAGGGAUGAAGGUCUUCGGAUCGUAAAACUCUGUUAUUAGGGAAGAACAAAUGUGUAAGUAACUAUGCACGUCUUGACGGUACCUAAUCAGAAAGCCACGGCUAACUACGU
rnacentral:rRNA from 1 species